UAACGGCCCACCGAGGCGACGAUGUCUAGGGGUUCUGAGAGGAAGGUCCCCCACACUGGAACUGAGACACGGUCCAGACUCCUACGGGAGGCAGCAGUGAGGAAUAUUGGUCAAUGGGCGGAAGCCUGAACCAGCCAUGCCGCGUGAAGGAAUAAGGCCCUAUGGGUCGUAAACUUCUUUUGUGGUGGAGCAAUAAGGGCUACGCGUAGUCCGAUGAGAGUACAUCACGAAUAAGCAUCGGCUAACUCCGUGCCAGCAGCCGCGGUAAUACGGAGGAUGCAAGCGUUAUCCGGAUUUAUUGGGUUUAAAGGGUGCGUAGGCUGUGCCGCAAGUCGGGGGUGAAAGCCCGGGGCCCAACCCCGGAACUGCCCUUGAUACUGCGGCGCUGGAGUUCAGAUGCCGUGGGAGGAAUGAGUAGUGUAGCGGUGAAAUGCAUAGAUAUUACUCAGAACACCGAUUGCGAAGGCAUCUCACGAAUCCGACACUGACGCUGAGGCACGAAAGCGUGGGGAUCAAACAGGAUUAGAUACCCUGGUAGUCCACGCAGUAAACGAUGAUGACUAACUGUCGGCGAUAAACAGUCGGUGGCCAAGCGAAAGCGAUAAGUCAUCCACCUGGGGAGUACGUUCGCAAGAAUGAAACUCAAAGGAAUUGACGGGGGCCCGCACAAGCGGAGGAACAUGUGGUUUAAUUCGAUGAUACGCGAGGAACCUUACCCGGGCUCGAACGGCUAGUGAACGACCCAGAGAUGGGAAGGCCCUUCGGGGCGCUAGUCGAGGUGCUGCAUGGUUGUCGUCAGCUCGUGCCGUGAGGUGUCGGCUUAAGUGCCAUAACGAGCGCAACCCUUGCCGCUAGUUACCAUCAAGUGAAGUUGGGGACUCUAGCGGGACUGCCACCGCAAGGUGAGAGGAAGGCGGGGAUGACGUCAAAUCAGCACGGCCCUUACGUCCGGGGCGACACACGUGUUACAAUG
rnacentral:rRNA from 1 species